rnacentral:rRNA from 1 species
GACGAACGCUGGCGGCGUGCUUAACACGCGCAAGUCGAACGGAAAGGCCCUGCUUUUGUGGGGUGCUCGAGUGGCGAACGGGUGAGUAACACGUGAGUAACCUGCCCUUGACUUUGGGAUAACUUCAGGAAACUGGGGCUAAUACCGGAUAGGAGCUCCUGCUGCAUGGUGGGGGUUGGAAAGUUUCGGCGGUUGGGGAUGGACUCGCGGCUUAUCAGCUUGUUGGUGGGGUAGUGGCUUACCAAGGCUUUGACGGGUAGCCGGCCUGAGAGGGUGACCGGCCACAUUGGGACUGAGAUACGGCCCAGACUCCUACGGGAGGCAGCAGUGGGGAAUAUUGCACAAUGGGCGGAAGCCUGAUGCAGCAACGCCGCGUGCGGGAUGACGGCCUUCGGGUUGUAAACCGCUUUCGCCUGUGACGAAGCGUGAGUGACGGUAAUGGGUAAAGAAGCACCGGCUAACUACGUG